CAAAGAGUUGGACACGACUGAGCGACUGAACUGAACUGAACUGAAGAGAACUGUGAGAGUGCCAGAGGCCGAAACGUAUUCCUUUUUAUACCACCUCCCCUCACCAGCUCAGUGCCUGACAUCAGGGAUUAACACAGGCUUCCACAUGGAAUCAUUGAAAUGAGAUGAAAAUUUUAAAACUGCCAAACUCAUUUAAUUCACUCAGCCUUCUUCAGUGUGGGUGAUACCAGCUUACAAGAAUUUUGCUUUCUCUCUCCCUCUUCUCAGACUUUUGGAAGAAUUUAUUUCUAGAAGGAUAAAAUGCUCUUUCUUCCUUUGUUCUUUUCCUUUCCUUCCUCCCUUUCUUCUUUUUCUUCCAUUUUUUUGUCUCCAAAUCAUCCAUCAGUAUCUACAAUGUGCCAGGAACUGUACUAGGCAUAGAAAAUAGACAUGUAAGAGGCAUCAUCCUUAAGGAAGAUAAUAUUUUACUUAGAGUUAAAAAGCACACAAGUUAGAGUUUUCCACUGGGGGCAAACUAUAAUACAAUCAGCUGUCUGGGUGCAUGGGUGAGCCAUGGAGGGCAUCUAGGGAAAACGUCCUACAGGGGGUGAUAACUGAAGUCUUGAGAAAGGACAAAGUUUAGCAGGCAAUGAAAAGAUGACAGAGAUGACAUAACGAAGGUGACACUGCUUACAAAGGGAGAGAGGGCAAAGUCUCAUUCAGGAAAUGAAAGGAUUACUGGUGUGACUGUAGAGGAAAGUACAAGCUGCCUGUGGAGAGGGCAAGAGAAGAGAGGAGCCAUACAUGGAAAAAGACCUCUUGUCCUGGCAAAUCUCCCUGGCCUCCAUCAGGAAGGCUUGAGGGAGUCAUUCAAGGAUUUUAAGCAAACAGGCAGUGUGAUCCUAUCUGAGCGCUCUGACUGCUGGGUGCCUACGAAGUGGUAGCAGGAGAUUAGAAGCAAGGAGGCCCAUAGAGGAGGCUGUGUUCAACCAUCCAGGUACCCUUGAUGAUUUGGUCCCUGGACCAGGCAGAGCUGACAACACAGGUGUCCCCUGGUGUCCAAGUGGAAGACCGCACAUUUCCGAGGAGCUCAGUCCUCCACUGGCAGCUUGGCUUCUAGGGGAAUGCUCAGAAAGUCUCCACAUGUUGUUUCUUCCUCUAAAGGCUGCUGAUGGCAUCAUGGUGAAUAACCACGGCCUGCUUCAUGCUGUUUUGCUUUCAAGUCUGAGAACUUCAUAUGAGAACCUCAGCCUGAAUCAUGUCGCUCCAGCUUCAUCUCAAAAGUUGAUGUUGAAAAGAUAA
rnacentral:lncRNA from 1 species